CCUACGGGUGGCUGCAGUGGGGAAUAUUGGGCAAUGGGCGCAAGCCUGACCCAGCAACGCCGCGUGAAGGAAGAAGGCCCUCGGGUUGUAAACUUCUUUUGUCAGGGACGAAACAAGUGACGGUACCUGACUUAUAAGCCACGGCUAACUACGUGCCAGCAGCCGCCUUAAUACGUAGGUGGCAAGCGUUAUCCGGAUUUACUGGGUGUAAAGGUAGCGUAGACGGUGCGGCAAGUCAGGAGUGAAGUGCCGUGGCUUAACUGCGGAACUGCUUUGGAUACUGGCGAACUAGAGUGCGGGAGGGGUAAGCAGAAUUCCUGGUGUAGCGGUGAAAUGCGUAGAGAUUAGGAGGAACACCGGUGGCGAAGGCGGCUUACUGGACCGUAACUGACGCUGAGGUGCGAAAGCGUGGGGAGCAAACAGGAUUAGAUACCCGAGUAGUC
rnacentral:rRNA from 1 species